AAAGAGACAUGUUAAAAACUUUUGAUUUAUCUAAUUGGUAUCAAGCUAUAAAAGUUACUAAACAAAUAUCACAUAGUCUUACCCACUGGGAAGCCUAUAGUAAAAUAUGAAUGCGUUGGUAUUUAGUUCCCGCAAAAGUGGCACAAAUGUAUGAAGGCACUUCUGACAUAUGCUGGAGUUGCCAAAGGAAUAAGGGAACCUUACUACAUAUUUUUUGGUAGUGCCCUAAUCUUGCACAAUUU